rnacentral:lncRNA from 1 species
GAUUACAUCAUCCCAGAAAAGGGGAGGGGGAGGAAGAGAAACAAAAAAGCUGAUUGACACUGAACCAUGUGUCUUUCUCCUACAAGGAUGCUUUGGAAGGAUGAAACAUUCAUGGCACCAAGGUGGGAAUGCAGAUUAUAGGCAUCAGGAAGAUAACUGCCCAAACCAUCACCCACGAAGCAGUAGGGGUGGAAACAACUAGGUACGAAUAAGGGAAAUAAUGAAAGAAGAGUAUGUGCUGUCCAGAAAUACCAAAUCACAAUUCUUUUUUGAGAAUUCGAGUCAGAGCAGCUUCAUGCAAACUGCCUUGGGAAUUUCUAUUUGAAAGGUAAUAUAAGAAUUUUUGUAAUGGAUAAAUAUAAAAUGGGUAGUUAUAUUGCACAGAAGCCUGAUCGCUAAGGAGAUCGAUGCCCUUUUAUAUUUUGAAAGGCAGAUAAUAUACAAAAUAAGUGUCACCCUUGUAUUUUUAUAAUUCUAACAAAUAAAAUGUACCAAUAUGAAGGAUAGGUGGGUAUU